UACGUAGGGUGCAAGCGUUGUCCGGAAUUAUUGGGCGUAAAGAGCUCGUAGGCGGUCUGUCGCGUCGGCCGUGAAAACCUGCAGCUUAACUGUGGGCUUGCGGUCGAUACGGGCAUCACUGGAGUUCGGCAGGGGAGACUGGAAUUCCUGGUGUAGCGGUGAAAUGCGCAGAUAUCAGGAGGAACACCAAUGGCGAAGGCAGCUCUCUGGGACGGUACUGACACUGAGACGCGAAAGCGUGGGGAGCGAACAGG
rnacentral:rRNA from 1 species